rnacentral:rRNA from 1 species
UACAGAGGUCUCAAGCGUUGUUCGGAUUCAUUGGGCGUAAAGGGUGCGUAGGUGGUCCGUUAAGUUCGUUGUGAAAGCCCUGGGCUCAACCCAGGAACUGCUUCGAAUACUGGCGGACUUGAGGCUAGUAGGGGUUACUGGAACUGGCGGUGGAGCGGUGAAAUGCGUAGAUAUCGUCAGGAACGCCAAUGGUGAAGACAGGUAACUGGGCUAGUUCUGACACUGAGGCACGAAAGCGUGGGGAGCGAACGGG